ensembl:lncRNA SNHG1 small nucleolar RNA host gene 1
GUUACUCUUUUGUACUUUGUCUUUUUCUUUUAUUUUCUUUUGAGCGAUUGUGCGAACAUAGCAUAGCACGCACUAUGCCUUCUGUGUUGUAGCUGCCUGGCCAGGGCGACUGGCGGAUAAGGUCUUGUGCGUGGCCUCGAGGCUUAAAAGUAGCAGUGGGGCUUUGUGAAGGACAAAAUGGCGAUGGCGGGCCGUGUAGGUCCCCCUUCCUAUGAUGAGGACCUUUUCACAGACCUGUACUGAGCUCCGUGAGGAUAAAUAACUCUGAGGAGAUGGGCCCUGCAAGCCUCUUGCUUAGCCGUCUGUUCAGAAAAUAGCGUUUUCGAAAUGCCCUGAGUUGACCUAAUGUCUUAUUGGGCUCCUGUCUGCAGGAUUUACGCGCACGUUGGAACCGAAGAGAGCUCUGUUGUUGCAAUGUUCAGCCCACAAGAGCUUACUGGUGAAGGAAUGGGACAAGACCCAUCUUUAUGCAAAGCCAGCGUUACAGUAAUGUUCCAGCAUCUCAUAAUCUAUCCUGGGGAAUUCAGCUGCCUCCCAGGGUGAAUACAGGUAUUCCUGAUGACAGUCUGCCUCUAUCUUACAGAGCAGCUUGUUGCUAUAUACCAUUGAAAAGCCUUCAGAGCUGAGAGGUACUACUAACCAAUAACCUGCUUGGCUCAAAGGGCCAGCACCUUCUCUCUAAAGCCCAAGAGGAGUUUGAGGUAAAUGGCUUUGCAAUAGUUACCAUCAAUGGCUGCUAUAUAAAAUUUUCUGUGAUUUUUGUGUGUGAUAGCACUGUGGUCUGGGUGAAUGUACACAGACAUAACUGGCUUAACCCAAAGUCUUUGAUCUCCUGAACCACCAGUGAUGAAUUGCUGCUCACCAGUGAUGAGUUGAAUACCGCCCCAGUCUGAUCAAUGUGUGACUGAAAGGUAUUUUCUGAGCUGUGAGCCUGCCUUCCAGUGACAUGUUCUAAAAAUUGCAAGUUAUUUGAGGAGGCUUUACAGCCAAUAGGAAGUUCUUGGGCUAAGUAGUGUUUCCUAUAAAAUGUGCCCUGAAACUUCUUUCUGCCAAGCAAUAGAUACAAUUGAGAGAUUGUAAAAUGUGACAUAGAAUGAAAGUCUCUCAAGACUACAUUUUUCUUUCUUGAUUUUGCAGGAAAACUAGGUGUCUGUGUUCACUCCAGGCUGAAGUUACAGGUCUGAGCAAAUAAGGUGUAUAAAAAAUGGAAUCUGUCUUGGAGGACAUCAGAAGGUGAAUUUUCCAAGUUCUUGGACAACCUAGCUGUUGAAAAGCUUUCUGGGUUUGGGGGGUAUUUCAGAUGUACCUUAAAGUGUUAGCAGACACAGAUUAAGACACUGGGAGCCAAUGAAACAGCAGUUGAGGGUUUGCUGUGUAUCACAUUUCUGUAUUUUAUCACCCCCUUCCUGCAACAUUAUUUAUCUGGAAUCUACCUGCCCUUUUGUUUUUUAGAUACAAGGGCUUGGUUUUGUUACCCAGGCUGGUUUCAAGGCCAUAGCUUUAAGAGAUCCUCUCACCACAGAUUUCCAAAGUGCUGGGAUUGCAGGUGUGAUUCAUGGCACCCAGACUUUGCUGCCUUUCUUACAUGAUCCAGGCCCAGAACCCAAACUCAGGCACUGUAUAGAUGACCACUUUCGUAAACUACUGACCUAGCUUGUUGCCAAUUGUUGAUUGAACUUCCCAUAACUCCACUUCGUGUCUGUUCCUCUGUAUACAGCCACCUUCUGUUCCCGUCAUGAGCCUUUAGGUCUCCAUUUGCAUAUUGCAAAUACUAUGUUCCAUGUAGGUAGCUCAUUCAGGGCCUUGCUCUUCACUUCAAAAAAGGUUC